ACCUGAGUUAUAAUUGCAUAAAAACACUGAAUUCAUCUGAAGAGCUGUUUUUCCUCCCUGAGUCUGUUUGUUUAUAGAAUCACUCAUUUGGAUCUGAACUACUACUACAGAGAAGGAGGGACUGCAGGAUGCUUCAGUUGCAGCAAUAGAUGUUUUUGCCCAAAACCAGAAGUACAUAACCACGGGGAAUUCUUUCUUAACGUCGAGGUUACAUUUUAAACAACAGGUCAGCACUGGAAUCUGGAAGAGUAACAAUAAUGGUUGUACCUGGCCAUGUAGGAUUGCUGUUAUUGGAAGGCCAUAGACCUCCUGAUUGGUUGUUGCCAUCAGAUGGCCAAUCGAGAGCAUCUGAGAGCUUAAGUGAGACAGAACAAGAGAGGAGAAACUUUUUCAAGUUAGACACAUUCUCCUUUCCAGCAGCUGACCGACCCAACAACACUUCAUGACUGCCUUGUUUUGGGCAGUCACUCCUAUUGACUCUCUGCUUAGACCUUCUGGCUCCUGCAUGACCUCUCUAUGGCUUGUGUUGGGAAGUAUUGUCUGAAGAAAUCAUUGCCUGGACAUUUUUUAUUCUAAUUAUUAUCUUUAAUAAUUUGUCUCCCAUCAUUUUCAAAUAAAAACACUGCUCUGAAUAAUCAGCUGAACAGAGUGUGUUGAGCUGUGUGUCAGGUGAGGUUCAGGUAAAUCCCACCAGGUGGUGAUAUACAUAUAUGUCUAUAGGCUCGUCAGUAGGUGGCAGACGUGUGCAAAACAAAUCAAACUAACAUCCAGAGACAAUCACACACAGGAACAAAUCAGCUGCAGACUUACAUUCAUCCUGAUCGUCUGGAACCUGGAAGAAACCAAACAGGAAGUAAACAUUUUGAAAGAAAAAACAUAAAUGAUAUCUAAGGUUGUUUACUGCUUAACCCUCUGGAGGCAGGCGUUGACGAUUAGCAACGGUAAAACCUGCCCACCUGGUUACUCCACAUACGUAUUUCAUGAGCAUUUUUAACUCGGGCGUACCCCUGAAGGACUUAGUUGUUCCUCCUUUUAUCAAAACUUAUUUUGAGCCUGAGAGGGUUAAACGGUGCAUUGGUUUCCUUCUCUGGAUGACAUUUCAGCAUCAGUAGGAGGAUGAAACACUUUUACAAGUUUUUGGUGAAAAUGUAAACUUUCAUCAGCCUUUUUUUUUUUUUUUUUUUUUUUUUUGAGG